UACAAUGGAGAGUUUGAUCCUGGCUCAGGAUGAACGCUAGCGGCAGGCCUAAUACAUGCAAGUCGAACGGGUGGUAGCAAUACCACUAGUGGCGCACGGGUGCG
rnacentral:rRNA from 1 species